rnacentral:misc_RNA from 1 species
CCGUUGGUGAACCAGCGGAGGGAUCAUUAUCGAGUUUAUAACUCCCAAACCCUAUGUGAACUUACCACUUGUUGCUUCGGCGCGCGCUUCGGUGCCGCCGAGGACACUUAAACUCUUUGUUUUUAUAAGCAUUUCUGAGUGGCCGAAAGGCAAAAUACAAGUGAAUCAAAACUUUCAACAACGGAUCUCUUGGUUCUG